GAUGAACGCUGGCGGCGUGCUUAACACAUGCAAGUCGAACGGAAAGGCUCCUGCUUGCAGGGGUACUCGAGUGGCGAACGGGUGAGUAACACGUGGGUGAUCUGCCCUGCACUUCGGGAUAAGCCUGGGAAACUGGGUCUAAUACCGGAUAGGACGAUGGUUUGGAUGCCAUUGUGGAAAGUUUUUUCGGUGUGGGAUGAGCUCGCGGCCUAUCAGCUUGUUGGUGGGGUAAUGGCCUACCAAGGCGUCGACGGGUAGCCGGCCUGAGAGGGUGUACGGCCACAUUGGGACUGAGAUACGGCCCAGACUCCUACGGGAGGCAGCAGUGGGGAAUAUUGCACAAUGGGCGCAAGCCUGAUGCAGCGACGCAGCGUGGGGGAUGACGGCCUUCGGGUUGUAAACUCCUUUCGCUAGGGACGAAGCGCAAGUGACGGUACCUGGAGAAGAAGCACCGGCUAACUACGUG
rnacentral:rRNA from 1 species